ensembl:lncRNA
UCCAGAUCUUUCUUUUCUCCGUGAACUUGAGAAGAGAGCAGAUGUCCGUCGCUGCUCCAAGAGAUUCAGUGCUUUAGAAUUGAAUGCAAACGACGACUGAGAGAAAAGCAGGGUGUGUCUGAGAGUGAUAUCUUCAAACGUGGAUCAUCGGGAGUUUUCUGGAUUUUCAUAUACAUUUGAAUGCGUUUCCUUGGUUUUUUUUUUUUUUCCUCUCCUUGUUUGUUUCCUUGUGAUGUCCUGUUUGAUGUUCAUCUACUGCAUGUUGCCUGUUCUGGAUACGAAUCAAGUGAAGUGUGAACCUUUUCCUGGAUUGUGAACUGUCUCAACUCUCUCCUGUGCACAUAACGGUGGAGUUUGGACUGGCGAGCCGCCCAUUGGUUGGAGGUUGUGAACAUUCCUGUUUUGAAAGAGCACCGAAGUUGAACUUAUUCAUCUUCAAAUGGUAGGAGUGGAAUUUUAGACUUUAGAUACUGUGGAUUUCAUCAUUUCCUGGAUUCUUGGAUUAAAUUUAUGAACCGAUUGUUUUUUUUUUUCUUUUCCUUUUCAAAGAAUCAUUCUGAUUGUUCAUUACAAGCAGUAGGCUCUUGUUAAGUUUUGAAGUGUUCAGACUGAAUGAAGUUUUGUUUAUUGGGUGUUUAAUAUCUUUCAGAAACUUGUUUGAGGUUUAUGGGUAAAUAAGUGUUGAAUAACUAAACUAAGAUCAAAUUUAAGAACAGAACAGCUAAAAAAAAACGGACAAGGUUGAUUAUAUGCUUAAUGAUAAACGGCUUUAAAAUUUAACCUUGUGAAUUAGCUAUCAACGAAGUAGAAAAACAGAAGGGAAGCGUCAACUUACCUUGACGAGUGAUAUUGCCAUAAGUCUGUAAAGGAAAAGGAACCUGGUACAAAUCCUUACUAUUGAAUGUAACUAAAUUGAGAUCAAAUUUAAGAACAGAACAGCUAAAAAAAAAACGGACAAGGUUGAUUAUAUGCUUAAUGAUAAACGGCUUUAAAAUUUAACCUUGUGAAUUAGCUAUCAACGAAGUAGAAAAACAGAAGGGAAGCGUCAACUUACCUUGACGAGUGAUAUUGCCAUAAGUCUGUAAAGGAAAAGGAACCUGGUACAAAUCCUUACUAUUGAAUGUAACUAAAUUGAGGUCAUUAUACACUGAGUGUGAGAAACAAAAUUGUUUUUUUUUUAUUUAUGACAUUGUUAAUUCAUUGUUAAAAAUAUAAUCUUUCUUAUUCGUACCUCAACCCCUGUAUCUGAGUGGUUCACUGCUGUCGCACAUCUCUCUUCUCGGACGAACCUAGAAUGCUGAACUUACUGGUCCAUUGAUAAAAUAACUUGCAAGAUAUUUGGGUGUGAC